UACAGAGGUCUCAAGCGUUGUUCGGAUUCAUUGGGCGUAAAGGGUGCGUAGGUGGCGCUGUAAGUCGGGUGUGAAAUUUCGGAGCUUAACUCCGAAACUGCAUUCGAUACUGCCGUGCUUGAGGACUGGAGAGGAGACUGGAAUUUACGGUGUAGCGGUGAAAUGCGUAGAUAUCGUAAGGAAGACCAGUGGCGAAGGCGGGUCUCUGGGCCGAUACUGACGCUGAGGAGCGAAAGCGUGGGGAGCGAACAGG
rnacentral:rRNA from 1 species